UAGGGAAUCUUCCGCAAUGGACGCAAGUCUGACGGAGCAACGCCGCGUGAGUGAAGAAGGAUUUCGGUUCGUAAAACUCUGUUGUUAGAGAAGAACAGCGCAUAGAGUAACUGUUAUGCGUGUGACGGUAUCUAACCAGAAAGCCACGGCUAACUACGUGCCAGCAGCCGCGGUAAUACGUAGGUGGCAAGCGUUGUCCGGAUUUAUUGGGCGUAAAGCGAGCGCAAGCGGUCAAUUAAGUCUGAUGUGAAAGCCCCCGGCUCAACCGGGGAGGGUCAUUGGAAACUGGUUGACUUGAGUGCAGAAGAGGAGAGUGGAAUUCCAUGUGUAGCGGUGAAAUGCGUAGAUAUAUGGAGGAACACCAGUGGCGAAGGCGACUCUCUGGUCUGUAACUGACGCUGAGGCUCGAAAGCGUGGGUAGCAAACAGG
rnacentral:rRNA from 1 species